rnacentral:rRNA from 1 species
GACGAACCGUGCGAACGUUAUUCGGAAUCACUGGGCUUAAAGCGCGUGUAGGCGGAUGAGCACGUCUGUCGCUGAAAUCCCCCGGCUCAACCGGGGAACGGGCGUGGAUACGGCUUGUCUGGAGGGGCGUAGGGGGACCUGGAACUUCCGGUGGAGCGGUGAAAUGCGUUGAGAUCGGAAGGAACGCCCGUGGCGAAAGCGAGGUCCUGGACGCCUACUGACACUGAGGAACGAAAGCCAGGGGAGCAAACGGG